rnacentral:rRNA from 1 species
AGUGAACGCUGGCGGUAGGCCUAACACGUGCAAGUCGAACGGCAGCACAGGAGAGCUUGCUCUCUGGGUGGCGAGUGGCGGACGGGUGAGGAAUACAUCGGAAUCUACUCUGUCGUGGGGGAUAACGUAGGGAAACUUACGCUAAUACCGCAUACGACCUACGGGUGAAAGCAGGGGACCUUCGGGCCUUGCGCGAUUGAAUGAGCCGAUGUCGUAUUAGCUAGUUGGCGGGGUAAAGGCCCACCAAGGCGACGAUCCGUAGCUGGUCUGAGAGGAUGAUCAGCCACACUGGAGAUGCGACACGGUCCAGACUCCUACGGGGGGCAGCAGUGGGGAAUAUUGGACAAUGGGCGCAAGCCUGAUCCAGCCAUACCGCGUGGGUGAAGAAGGCCUUAGGGUUGUAAAGCCCUUUUGUUGGGAAAGAAAUCCAGCUGGCUAAUACCCGGUUGGGAUGACGGUACCCAAAGAAUAAGCACCGGCUAACUUCGUGCCAGCCGCCGCGGUAA